AUUGAACGCUGGCGGCAUGCUUUACACAUGCAAGUCGAACGGUAACAGGUCUUCGGAUGCUGACGAGUGGCGAACGGGUGAGUAAUGCAUCGGAACGUGCCCAGUCGUGGGGGAUAACGCAGCGAGAGCUGUGCUAAUACCGCAUACGAUCUAUGGAUGAAAGCGGGGGACCGUAAGGCCUCGCGCGAUUGGAGCGGCCGAUGUCAGAUUAGCUAGUUGGUGGGGUAAAGGCCCACCAAGGCGACGAUCUGUAGCUGGUCUGAGAGGACGACCAGCCACACUGGGACUGAGACACGGCCCAGACUCCUACGGGAGGCAGCAGUGGGGAAUUUUGGACAAUGGGCGCAAGCCUGAUCCAGCAAUGCCGCGUGCAGGAAGAAGGCCUUCGGGUUGUAAACUGCUUUUGUACGGAACGAAACGGUCUGGGUUAAUACCCUGGGCUAAUGACGGUACCGUAAGAAUAAGCACCGGCUAACUACGUGCCAGCCGCCGCGGUAAAAC
rnacentral:rRNA from 1 species